UACGUAGGGUGCGAGCGUUUGUCCGGAAUUAUUGGGACGUAAAGAGCUUGUAGGCGGUUUGUCGCGUCUGCUGAUGAAAAUCCGAGGCUCAACCUCGACUUGCAGUGGGUUACGGGACAGACUAGAGUGUGGUAGGGGAGACUGGAAUUCCGUGGUGUAGCGGUGGAAUGCGCAGAUAUCAGGAGGAACACCGAUGGCGAAGGCAGGUCUCUGGGCCAUACUGACGCUGAGAAG
rnacentral:rRNA from 1 species